UACGUAGGUGGCGAGCGUUAUCCGGAUUUACUGGGUGUAAAGGGCGUGUAGGCGGGACUGCAAGUCAGAUGUGAAACCCAUGGGCUCAACCCAUGGCCUGCAUUUGAAACUGUAGUUCUUGAGUGAUGGAGAGGCAGGCGGAAUUCCGUGUGUAGCGGUGAAAUGCGUAGAUAUACGGAGGAACACCAGUGGCGAAGGCGGCCUGCUGGACAUUAACUGACGCUGAGGCGCGAAAGCGUGGGGAGCAAACAGG
rnacentral:rRNA from 1 species